CUGCCCUCAAGCACGGCUUGUGUGUUGGGCUCGUCCCCCGGGGACGGGCCCGAAAGGCAGCGGCGGCACCGAGUCCGGUCCUCGAGCGUAUGGGGCUUUGUCACCCGCUCUGUAGGCCCGGCCGGCGCCAGCCGACAACCCAUCAUCCUUUUCAGG
rnacentral:misc_RNA from 1 species